rnacentral:rRNA from 1 species
UACGUAGGGGGCAAGCGUUGUCCGGAUUUAUUGGGCGUAAAGAGCGUGUAGGCGGCCGUACAGGUCAGCUGUGAAAACUCGAGGCUCAACCUCGAGACGUCGGUUGAAACCGUACGGCUAGAGUCCGGAAGAGGAGAGUGGAAUUCCCGGUGUAGCGGUGAAAUGCGCAGAUAUCGGGAGGAACACCAAUUGCGAAGGCAGCUCGCUGGGACGUAACUGACGCUGAGACGCGAAAGCGUGGGGAGCGAACAGG